rnacentral:ribozyme from 1 species
CAAAAAAUCACAAAGAAAAAAAAAGCAGAUUAGUUGCUCUGUUCUUCGUCCUUUUUUUAUUUUAUUAUUUUCUGUUACCUGUAUUGUAAG